rnacentral:lncRNA from 1 species
ACAAUCAAAAUAACCAAAUUUUCUAAGAAUCUUUUCGAUAUAAUGAGACUGUGUUAAAAAUAAUCCAUUAUUUUCACGAAUAAUUUUAAUUCCCAAAAUAAUAUCAGCCUCCCCCAUAUCUUUCAUAUCAAAAUUGCAAGAUAAAAAAUUUUUAGUAUUUUCUACUUGCUGAACAUCGGUGCCAAAAAUUAACAUGUCAUCAACAUAUAGACAUAUAAUAACACCUUUACCAUUUGAAAAUUUACUAUAAACACAUUUAUCAGAUUGAUUAAUUUUAUAACCAUUGGAAAGAACAAUCUGAUCAAACUUUUGAUGCCAUUGUUUAGGUGCUUGUUUAAGCCCAUACAACGACUUGAUAAGUUUACACACUUUGUGCUCUUGUCCAGGAACAACAAAGCCCUCGGGCUGUUCCAUAUAAACUUCUUCAUCUAAUUCUCCAUUUAAGAAUGCUGUUUUGACAUCCAUUUGAUGAAUAAUCAAAUUAUACAUUGAAGCAAGAGCAAUCAAAGUUCUAAUAGUCGCUAAUCUGGCAACAGGUGCAUAGGUAUCAAAAUAAUCAAUGCCUUCUUUUUGUGUAAACCCUUUGGCAACAAGUCUUGCCUUGAAUUUAUCUAUGGUGCCAUUUACAUUGAUUUUCUUUUUGAAAAUCCAUUUACACCCAAUAGGUUUACAUCCAGGAGGAAGAUCAACUAAUUUCCAUGUUUGGUUUGUCAUAAUUGAGUCCAUUUCAUCAUUUAUCGCUUCUUUCCAAAAAGCGACAUCAGGAGAUUUCAUUGCCUCCUCAAAUGUUGUGGGGUCUGAGUCAAUGUUUAAACAAAAUUGGAAACUUUCUGUAAUCAUUUCUCUACUACCCUCAACAAGAAAAGUAUAAAAAUCUGGUCCAAAUGUUUUAGCAAUUCUAACUCUUUUACUCCUUCUAAGUUCUGGGGUUUCAAUUGCAACAUCAUUUUUCUCAUUGGAGUGUUCUUUACUCACAAUAAGUUCUUUGGGUCUAGGAAUUGAUACAAAUCUGUUUUCAUCAAAUAUAGCAUCUUUAGAUUCAAAAACUGUGUUGAUCUCAAUGAAGUCAUUAGAUUCAAUCACGUAAAAUCUGUAUGCUUUACUAUGUUGUGCAUACCCAAUAAAUAUGCACUCAAUUCCUCUUUCACCCAGUUUCUUUCUUUUCGGUUCUGGAACCCUCACAAUAGCUCUACAACCCCAAACUUUUAAAUAAUUUAAAUUGGGCUUUCUUCCCUUGAAUAAUUCAUAAGGAGUUUUAUCAUUCUUUUUUGUUGGGAUUCUAUUUAGUAGAUGGCAAGCUGUUAAUAAAGCUUCGCCCCAAAAUCCAUAACUUAACCCAGAGUUAGAAAGCAUAGCAUUGACCAUUUCCAUUAAUGUUCUAUUUUUUCUUUCUGCAACUCCGUUUUGUUGUGGAGUAUAAGGUGCAGAGGUUUCAUGUAUAAUACCAAUGGACUCAAAAAAUGAAGGAUCAUAAUAUUCUCCUCCUCUGUCUGUUCUUAGGCAUUUGACCAUUUUCUCACAUUUCACCUCAACUUCAGAUUUAUAAAUUCUAAAUUUAUCUAGCGCUUCAUUUUUAGAAUGCAAAAGAUAAACAUAACUAUAUCUAGAAAAAUCAUCAAUAAAUGUAACAAAAUAUUUCUUUCCACCAAUAGAAGGAGAAGCAUGCAAGUCACAAACAUCACUAUGUACCAACUCAAGUAGAUUAGAACAUCUAUCAAUUUUAGGAAAAGACUUUCUAGUAAUUUUAGUGAGCAUGCAAGUAUUACAUUUUUCUAAUUUAUUAUCAAAAUUAGGAAUUAACUCUAACUUAGCCAUAUCUUGUAAUUUUCUAUAAUUAACAUGUCCUAAACGAUUAUGCCAUAAAGAAGAAGAGUCAAUAAUAUAGGCUGAAAUAUUUAUUUUAUUAAUAAGAUUGAGUUUGAACAUGCCCUCAUACAAAUAUCCUUUUCCCACAAAGAUUCCACCCUUCGACAAAAUAAAUUUGUCGGCCUCAAAUACAAGUUUGAACCCAAAUUUGUUAAGAAGACUUCCUGAAAUAAGAUUCUUCCUAACUUCAGGUACAUGAUACACAUCGGUGAGAGUGAGAGUUUUUCCUGAUGUGAACUCGAGUUCCACCUUGCCCUUUCCUUUGAUUUGUGCUGUUGAAGAAUUGCCCAUAUAGAGAACGUUUCCAUCCUCCAAUGCAUCAUAAGUUUUGAAUAAACUUUUAUCCUUGCACACAUGCCUUGUGGAACCCGAAUCAAUCCACCAAGCUCCGUCAUCUUCGAGUAUAUUAGCCUCGGAUAUCAUAGCCACAAAAUUUCUUUUGGAAUCCGGUGCACUUUCCUUUUUGAGGAACCGACAUUCUUUCUUGUAGUGGCCUGGUUUACCACAAUGAAAGCAUGCACCUUUCUUUUUCUUAUUUGUCAUGUUGUGGUUGAUCGGAUGCUUAGCUCUCUUUCGAUUUUCUUUUGUGGGUUGACGGGUUUUACUAUACUCAUCUUCCGUCACAUACACUUUGGCACUCUGAGCAUCUUGCUCCUUUUUGCUAUCUUGCAAACGAUAUUCUUCUUCUAUGCGAAGAUGGUUAGCCAAAUCUUUAAGAGUAAUCUCUUCCUUUCUAUGUUUAAGACUUUUCUUAAAGUCUUUCCAUGAUGGAGGAAGUUUAUCGAUUAUAGAGGCCACAAUUAUAGAUUCAUCCAUAUUCAUAUUAUGUUGAGUAAAUUGAUUGAGAAUAUGUUGAAUUUCAUGUAAUUGAUCUAGAACAGAUCUACUAUCAACCAUUUUAUAGUUAUUAAAUUUGCUAACAAGAAACUUCUUACUUGUGGCAUCCUCGGAUUUGUAUUUUUCUUCAAGGCCUUCCCACAGUUCUUUAGCCGUUUUCACAUUUUGAUAGACGUCGAAAAGCGCAUCCGACAUAGCAUUUAGAAUAUUGCCUCGGCAUAUAUUGUCAUCUUCAUCCCAUUUUUGUCUUGUACGAGUUUGUGCAACAGGUUCAUCAUCGUUUUCUUCUGGUCUUGGAGUAGUGAGGACAUAAGCAACUUUGAGAGUCGACAGAAGGAAAAAUAAUUUCUUCUGCCAGCGUCUGAAGUCCAUGCCAUCAAAUCUUUCUAGUCUCAUAAAGUUUGUUGCCAUCUCUCGUAGAGUAGCAGUCGACAUUUUCGGUUUUAAGCCUUAAGAUUGUUGGAACAGAUUGUGAUAAAGGUAUGAAAUAGAAAGAUUAAAAAGGCUUCAAGGCGUGUAGCAAUGCCACUUUCCUUAAGGCUUAAUCCGUCCCCACCGUUCUAACAAUUUGGUGUGCACCGGGUCAACGAACAACCUCCCAGGAUACAAUGAAGCGUAAACCUCAACUGCGUUUGCACACACGAAGUCGAGCCUUUGAGCACUCACUCGAUUAAGUUGUCAAAAGAAAUAGAAUAUAAAACAAGAAUGGAAUUAUUAUGAAUGAAGACUUCAACUCUUCAACUGUUUUCUGUCUGUCUCCUUCUGCAACCAAUGCUAUGGACUUAUAUAGGCCACGAACGGGUGCUUCAUGAAGUAACUAUUCACGAAAGGGUGUUUCGUGAAGUGACCUUUCGAUUGUGACUUUUCAUUUGAUCAUAACUACCAAAUAGUUAUAUGAAUCAAGUUCAAUGAAUAUAACCAUUGAUUCCAACGGGCAUAUGUACGAAGAGACACACUAUAAAGAUGUGUCUUUUCAUAUCAUAUUCUUUCACUAAAAGUCACAUCCUUUCACUUUAAGAGUCAUACCCUUUGAUUAGAGUUGCAUCCACUCACUAAGGGUUGCAUCCAUUCACUAAGAGUUGCAUCCAUUCACUAAGGAUUGCAUCCUUUCACGAAGAAUCACAUCCAUUCACUAAAAACAAUAAACAAAAUAUAUUAUUUUAAAAUUUUCCUUACACGUAUUAUAUCCGUAUUGAAUUUUUGCUGAAUUUGAAUUAACUAUCUAU